UACGUAGGGUGCAAGCGUUAAUCGGAAUUACUGGGCGUAAAGCGUGCGCAGGCGGUUUUGUAAGUCUGACGUGAAAUCCCCGGGCUCAACCUGGGAAUUGCGUUGGAGACUGCAAGGCUGGAGUCUGGCAGAGGGGGGUAGAAUUCCACGUGUAGCAGUGAAAUGCGUAGAGAUGUGGAGGAACACCGCUGGCGAAGGCAGCCCCCUGGGUCAAGACUGACGCUCAUGCACGAAAGCGUGGGGAGCAAACAGG
rnacentral:rRNA from 1 species